rnacentral:rRNA from 1 species
UACAGAGGUCUCAAGCGUUGUUCGGAUUCAUUGGGCGUAAAGGGUGUGUAGGUGGCGCGCUAAGUCGGGUGUGAAAUUUCGGAGCUUAACUCCGAAACUGCAUUUGAUACUGGCGUGCUUGAGGACUUGGAGAGGAGACUGGAAUUCAUGGUGUAGCAGUGAAAUGCGUAGAUAUCGUAAGGAAGACCAGUGGCGAAGGCGGGUCUCUGGACAGUUCCUGACGCUGAGGCACGAAGGUCAGGGGAGCAAACGGG